GAUGAAGAACGUAGCGAAAUGCGAUAAGUAAUGUGAAUUGCAGAAUUCAGUGAAUCAUCGAAUCUUUGAACGCACAUUGCGCCCGCCAGCGUUCUGGCGGGCAUGCCUGUUCGAGCGUCAUUUCAACCCUCAAGCUCUGCUUGGUGUUGGGGCCCUACGGUUGACGUAGGCCCUUAAAGGUAGUGGCGGACCCUCUCGGAGCCUCCUUUGCGUAGUAACUAACGUCUCGCAUUGGGAUUCGGAGGGACUCUUGCCGUAAAACCCCCAAAUUUUCUAAUGGUUGACCUCGGAUCAGGUAGGAAUACCCGCUGAACUUAAGCAUAUCAAUAAGCGGAGGA
rnacentral:misc_RNA from 1 species